rnacentral:rRNA from 1 species
GACGAACGCUGGCGGCGUGCUUAACACAUGCAAGUCGAACGAUGAAGCCGGAGCUUGCUCUGGUGAAUUAGUGGCGAACGGGUGAGUAACACGUGAGUAACCUGCCCUUGACUCUGGGAUAACUGCGGGAAACUGUAGCUAAUACCGGAUACGACCCUCGGAGGCAUCUCCUGGGGGUGGAAAGAAUUUCGGUCAAGGAUGGACUCGCGGCCUAUCAGCUAGUUGGUGAGGUAAAGGCUCACCAAGGCGACGACGGGUAGCCGGCCUGAGAGGGUGAACGGCCACACUGGGACUGAGACACGGCCCAGACUCCUACGGGAGGCAGCAGUGGGGAAUAUUGCACAAUGGGCGCAAGCCUGGUGCAGCAACGCCGCGUGAGGGAUGACGGCCUUCGGGUUGUAAACCUCUUUUAGCAGGGAAGAAGCGAAAGUGACGGUACCUGCAGAAAAAGCACCGGCUAACUACGUGCCAGCCGCCGCAGUAA